rfam:Capsicum annuum cultivar Zunla-1 chromosome 6, whole genome shotgun sequence
UGAUGAUGGUGAGGGAAAUUUCUGAUCAUACUCUUAAAUCUCUCCCAAGCUUGGUAGAGAUUCUCUUCUUCUUUCUACCUGAAACGUGAAAACACUCAACUUACACA